rnacentral:misc_RNA from 1 species
AGCAGCCGCGGUAAUUCCAGCUCCAAUAGCGUAUAUUAAAGUUGUUGCAGUUAAAAAGCUCGUAGUUGAAUUUCGGGAUCAAUAUAUCGGUCGUGCCUUGGUACGUACUGGUAUCAUUGGUUUCUCCUUUCUGACGAACCAUGAUGUCAUUAAUUUGGUGUUAUGGGAAGUUAGGACUGUUACUUUAGAAAAAUUAGAGUAGUUUAAAGCAGGCUUUAGCUUGAAUACAUUAGCAUGGAAUAAUGAAAUAGGACGUUCGAACCUAUUUUGUUGGUUUCUAGGAUCAACGUAAUGAUUAAUAGGGAUAGUUGGGGGCAUUAGUAUUCAAUUGUCAGAGGCGAAAUUCUUGGAUUUAUUGAAGACUAACUACUGCGAAAGCAUUUGUCAAGGAUGUUUUCAUUAAUCAAGAACGAAAGUUAGGGGAUCGAAGACGAUCAGAUACCGUCGUAGUCUUAACCAUAAACUAUGCCGACUAGGGAUCGGAUGAUGUUAAUUUUUAAUAACUCAUUCGCGCCUUACG